GACGAACGCUGGCGGCGUGCUUAACACAUGCAAGUCGAGCGGUAAGGCCCUUUCGGGGGUACACGAGCGGCGAACGGGUGAGUAACACGUGGGUGACCUGCCUUUAGCUCUGGGAUAAGCCUGGGAAACUGGGUCUAAUACCGGAUAUGACUCCAUGAUGCAUGUUGUGGGGUGGAAAGCCUUGUGCGGCUGGAGAUGGGCCCGCGGCCUAUCAGCUUGUUGGUGGGGUGAUGGCCUACCAAGGCGACGACGGGUAGCCGGCCUGAGAGGGCGACGGCCACACUGGGACUGAGACACGGCCCAGACUCCUACGGGAGGCAGCAGUGGGGAAUCUUGCGCAAUGGGCGAAAGCCUGACGCAGCGACGCCGCGUGAGGGAUGACGGCCUCGGUU
rnacentral:rRNA from 1 species